UACGAAGGGUGCAAGCGUUACUCGGAAUUACUGGGCGUAAAGCGUGCGUAGGUGGUUCGUUAAGUCUGUCGUGAAAGCCCCGGGCUCAACCUGGGAAUGGCGAUGGAUACUGGCGGGCUAGAGUGCGGUAGAGGAGAGUGGAAUUCCCGGUGUAGCAGUGAAAUGCGUAGAGAUCGGGAGGAACACCAGUGGCGAAGGCGGCUCACUGGCCCGAUACUGACGCUGAGGCACGAAAGCGUGGGGAGCAAACAGG
rnacentral:rRNA from 1 species